ensembl:lncRNA
UUUCUUUUCUUUUCUUUUCUUUUCUUUUCUUUUCUUUUCUUUUCUUUUCUUUUCUUUUCUUUUCUUUUCUUUUCUUUCCUUUCCCUUUUCCUUUUCUUUUCUUUUUUCUUUUCCUUCCCCUUUUUCAUUUUCAUUUUCGUUUUUUUUCUUCCCACUUCAUUUUCCUGUACUUCCCCCCUUAUUUCUUUUUCUUUUUCUUUCUUUCUUUCUUUCUCUUUCUUUCUUUCUUUCUUUCUUCUUUUCUUUUUUUCUUUUCUUUUCUUUUCUUUUCUUUUCUUUUCUUUUCUUUUCUUUUCUUUUCUUUUCUUUUUUUCUUUUCUUUUCUUUUCUUUUCUUUUCUUUUCUUUUCUUUUCUUUUCUUUUCUUUUCUUUUCUUUUCUUUUCUUUUCUUUUUUCUUUCCAUUUCAUUUCUUUCCUUUUUUUCUUUUCUUCCCCUUUUUCUUCUUUUCUUCCCCUUAUUCAUUUUCUUUUUCUUCCCAUUUUUCUUCCCAUUUUCUUCCCCUUUUCCUUUUUCUUUUCCUUUUCCUUAUUCAUUCCUUUUCCUUUUCCUUUUUUUCUUCUUCCUCUUCUUGUUCCUUCUCUUCUUCUUUUUUUCCCCUUUUUUCUUCUUUUUUCGUUUUCCUUUUCUUCUUUUCCUUUUCUUCCCCUUUUUCAUUUUCAUUUUGUUUCUUCCCUUUUCACUUUCUUCUCCCUUUUCUUGUACUACCCCCCUUUUUCUUUUCUCUUUUUCUUUUCUUUUCUUUUUUCUUUCCUUUUUCUUUUUCUUCCCCUUUUUCUUCUUUUUUUUUCUUAUUCUUCCCGUUUUUCUUCCCCUUUUUCUUUUUUCUUCCCCUUAUUCAUAUUAUUUUUCUUCCCCCUCCUUUUUCUUUUCUUCCCCUUUUCUUCCCCUUUUUCAUUUUCCUUUCUUCUCUUUAUUCAUUUUCAUUCUCUUCCCUUUUCAAUUUCUUCCCCGUUCUUGUACUUCCCUCCCUUUUCUUUUUUUCUUUUUCUUGCCCUUUUUCUUCCCCUUUCCCUUUUUCUUUUCUUCCACUUUUUCAUUUUCAUUUUCUGUUUCUUCCCUUUUCAGUUUCUUCCCUCUUUUCUUGUACUACCCCCCUUUUUCUUUUCUUUUCCUUUUUCUUUUUCUUUCCCUUUCUUUUUCUUUAUAUUCUUCUUUUUUUUCUUUUUCUUUUUCCUGUUCUUUUGCUUCCCCUUUUUCUUUUUCUUUUCUUUUUCUUCCCCUUUCCUUCCCCUUUUUCAUUUUCCUUUCUUCACUUUAUUCAUUUUCAUUCUCUUCCCUUUUCAGUUUCUUCCCCCUGUUCUUGUAUUUCCCCUUUUCUUUUAUUUCUUUUUCUUGCCCUUUUUCAUCCCCUUUUACUCUUUCUUUUCUUCCAGAUAUUCACUUUCUUCCCCUUUCCCCUUUUCUUUUCUUUUCUUUUCUUUUCUUUUCUUUUCUUUUCUUUUCUUUUCUUUUCUUUUCUUAUCUUUUCUUUUCUUUCUUUUCUUUUUCCUUUUCUUUUCUUCUCUUUUCUUCUUCUUUUCUCUUCUCUUCUCUUCUCUUCUCUUCUCUUCUCUUCUCUUCUCUUCUCUUCUCUUUCCUUCUUCUUUUCUUUUCUUUUCUUUUCUUUUCUUUUCUUUUCUUUUCUUUUCUUUUCUUUUCUUUUCUUUUCUUUUCUUUUCUUUUCUUUUUUCUUUUCUUUUCUUUUCUUUUCUUUUCUUUUCUUUUCUUUUCUUUUUUCUUUUCUUUUCUUUUCCUUUUCUUUUUUCUUUUUCCUUUUCUUCUUUUCUUUUCUUUUCUUCUCUUUUCCUCUUCUCUUCUCUUCUCUUCUCUUCUCUUCUCUUUCUCUUCUCUUCUCUUUCUCUUCUCUUUCUCUUCUCUUUCCUUCUNNNNNNNNNNNNNNNNNNNNNNNNNNNNNNUCUUUUCUUUUCUUUUCUUUUCUCUUUUCUUUUCUUUUCUUUUCUUUUCUUCUCUUUUCUUCUCUUUUCUUCUCUUUUCUUCUCUUUUCUUCUCUUUUCUUUUCUUCCCCUUGUUCUUUCCCCCUUUUCCCCCUCUUUUUCUUUUUCUUUCAGACUUCCUUCUACUGUUCUCACCUGUGUGAUCAUAGAUUAGCUACUGGUAGCUAUCAUUUUAUGAAAAAAAAUUGGAAUUUAGGUAUUUAG